GUAAUAAAAUAUUAAAAUUUAUUUUAGACCAUUUUUCUGAGAUUGGUAAUCCAAAACCAUUAAAAUUUGUCAAUUUAAUAUUUGACAUGGGAUAGGUGAGAGAAUCAGCAUGGUCUGGCUGAAGACGGUGAACUUAGCACUUCUUAGGAGGCAACCCAGUUUUUAAAUUUUCAAAUUUUGCUUUUGCCUUUGCUUUCUUUUGCAUUUUGUUUAGGAUAAUCAAGUCUUACUUAGUGUUUUUUGUAGAGAUCGAAAAAUAAUCUUGGCUAAGUUGGGGGG
rnacentral:lncRNA from 1 species